GGGUGAUUAGCUCAGCUGGUUAGAGCACCGCCCUUACAAGGCGGGGGUCGUAAGUUCGAAUCUUUCAUCACCCACCA
rnacentral:tRNA from 1 species